UGGCAUUUUGACUCUGAAGUUCCCUCGCUGCAGCUUCACCGUGUGCUGCCAGGGACACACUUCCUCUGAGGGAAAUCUCUGGAGGCCUAUAGAAGAGUCAUAGAGGCUUCCUGCAGGUGAGGAUAUGGUUUGUGCCACUGCCAGGUGAGGUAUGAACCCAAAAUAAAAGAUGGUUAUAUGUUUGUAAAAGACUGCCAUAAAUAUUAGUACUGUAAUGUUAUAGUUGUUAUUAUUAUUAUUAGUAGUAGUAGUAGUAAUUUUUAAAUACUCGUUUUUAUUUUAUGGUGAAAUAUCACAAUAGUCAAAUUACUUAUUUUUUAAUUUUGUAAUAAAUAAAAUAAUUCUAUAAAGAAAUUAUUAUGAACAAAUAUUAUGAUUAUGAUUAAUAGUACAUAAAUAAAUAUUUCUUGUUUUAUUUAUUAAUAAUAAUAAUCAGUAAAUAUUUAUAAUAAUAUAUAUUAUAAUAUUCACUACAUAAAGAAAGAGCUGAACUUGAAGAUGACAUAACUGAAUCAUCAAUGAACUGAAAAAAUGGACUGUUGUUAUUGUCCUCUUGCGAUACUGACAAACUAUUUUCCUGUUUGAGACUGUAAAACAGCUUUGACACAAUCUGUACUGUAUAAAGCAUACUGUAUUUUUGCAGGCAACCUCAUUUUUCUAAGCAGUAUAUUAAAGCAAGGAGACAUUAUUUCACAGCCAUUCGGAAAAAAAAUAAAAAAAAUAAAAUUAAUGUUAUCUGAUGAGAGAGAGCUUCACCGCCUUGCAGAAGUGUUGUAUGUGGUUUCAUAAAGAAGACAAGCUCUCAAUAUACCUUUAAUAACUUGGAACAGGGUGCAAGUGUGUGUGAGGGGUUCAAAAACCCUUCACAAGGCUCCUCAACGCAGGUUCAGAACAUUUUGUUCAGCCACUCAGCCAAUAAUUCAAGCAACACCGGGUGCCUGCUGCGGUUGUUAUCUGGCGGACACACACUGUAUAUGUACCGCUGUGUAGAUAAAUCCCCACAUACACACACACACACACACACACACACACACACACACACACACACACACACACUCAGGUAACAAAAGUUGAAUGUGAGCGCCUUCUAUGUGACCUUGCCACUGAUAUCACACCACUGUUUCUCUCUCUUCCCGUCUUUCCAGUGGUGUUUUAAAAUUCUGUGCAGUGAUUUCAGUGUUCCACUGAGCACAGACAAACUCACAUUUGCAUUUCUCGUACUUAAAUGACUCUUGUCUGUUGUAAAGCUAAAUUAGGGAAACCACUAUAUUUAAUUUUCACAUUUCAUUAACAUGUUUGGUCAGCCUUUAACCAGCCUUUUUCCAUUCCUCUAAGUGGCUAUUACUUUCUUAGUGAAAAAAAGUGUGUAUGACUAACUUCAACCUCUGGAUGUGAUACACUUUGAAGAUGCCAAAUAAAGCAAUGAACCAUGAGAGGCUGUGCAUUUCACAGAUUUUACUACAAGGUUCAAUGUGAGAGCUUAAAACUUCAACCAUGAUAAAAAUCACAGCUUUGCAAAACUGCUUUUGUAAAUUUGCAA
ensembl:lncRNA